rnacentral:lncRNA from 1 species
CUCCGUCUCCAUCCUCUAGCUGGCUGGAAGCUGACGCUUUGAAUCGCGAAAUUCUCAUGGUAUCGACCUCUCCGCUGAAAAGUCACCUAUCAAUGCGAAGCAGUGACAGUAAGGAUGAGAUCGCUGAAGGAAGCUACCAACCUCAAACGCCGGAACUAAAAGUUGUGCCACCAGCCUUUCGCACUGAAGAAGAAUUCGCAGAGUCUUCGCCCAGUAGUAUCAUCAGCGAGCCCCUGCCUGCGGAUCCCAAGGUUAGAUUUACAAGAACAGCAUUUUGUUCUGACUCUCUCGUGCAGGCUGGAGAUCUGGAGCAAAUAAACAUGCUCAAGCAGCAGUUACAAAAUGCCAUCGUGGCUGCAAACAAAGCAAAAGAAUCUGCCGACGCUGAAACACUACGGAGCCAGGAAGCUCGCGAGAACGCUGAUUGGGCUUUAAAACGGGUAAACUGGAGAUGCUAUCGUCAAAAGUCUUACGAUUUCAUGGCAUUCCAGGCGGAAAUAUUGAUGCGAGCGGUCGAGGAGGACAAUCAGCGAGAGUAUAACGCAGCAAAGAAAUUAGAUGAGGAAUCGCAGAAGCGUGCUGAAGCUCUCACGCUUGUCAACUCGAUGAAAAAAGCACUGGUGGACGAAAUCCGGAGAAGGAAGGAAAUGGAAAACAGGAUAGAGCUCCAAUGUAAAGCAGAAGCUGAGAGAGAGGCCAACAGGCAACAACUGCUCAAGUACACACAAUUCACGUUUGAGGAACUCCGAGACAUCACAGACAACUUUUCUGAGAACAACAAAAUAGGAGAGGGAUCAUACGGUCACGUCUACAAAGGCACUCUCCACAGGACCAACGUAGCAGUCAAGGUUCUAAGACAUGAUAGUUGGCAAGGACCACAAGAGUUCGAACAAGAGGUACGUAAACUCACUCGAAUUUCUAAAAUCUCUAACAAGCAUGGGAAAAUAAAGGUGGAAGUGCUGAGCCGACUACACCAUCCUCACAUCGUUCUACUGCUAGGCGGAAAUCCGGAAAAGAAAUGCCUUGUCUACGAGUACCUGGAAAACGGGAGCUUGGAAGAUCGACUGUUCUGCAAGGACGACUCGCCGCCAAUCUCAUGCCUCACGAGGUACCAGAUUGCGGUGGAAGUCGGCACAGCGCUCCUCUUCCUCCACAAGGCAAAGCCACAGCCGAUCGUGCUCCGGGACCUCAAGCCUUCCAACAUCCUGCUAGACAAAAACUACAACAGUAAGAUCAGCGACGUUGGGUUGGCAAGAUUCAUGCCAGGCGACGCGACAAGCGUGAGGAGCACAUCACCUGUGGGAACGUUCGCGUACAUCGAUCCGGAGUACCAGCGGGAAGGCAGCUUCAAUGCAAAGUCGGACGUGUUUGCGUUUGGGAUCAUCCUGCUCCAGCUCCUCACCGCGACGAGCCCGGUUG